AACGAACGCUGGCGGCAUGCCUAACACAUGCAAGUCGAACGAAGUCUUCGGACUUAGUGGCGCACGGGUGCGUAACGCGUGGGAAUCUGCCCUUGGGUGCGGAAUAACUUCUCGAAAGGGAUGCUAAUACCGCAUAAUGUCGUAAGACCAAAGAUUUAUCGCCCAAGGAUGAGCCCGCGUAAGAUUAGCUAGUUGGUGGGGUAAAAGCCUACCAAGGCGACGAUCUUUAGCUGGUCUGAGAGGAUGAUCAGCCACACUGGGACUGAGACACGGCCCAGACUCCUACGGAGGCAGCA
rnacentral:rRNA from 1 species